rnacentral:rRNA from 1 species
UACGAAGGGGGCUAGCGUUGUUCGGAAUUACUGGGCGUAAAGCGCGUGUAGGCGGGUCUUUAAGUCAGGGGUGAAAUGCCAGGGCUCAACCUUGGAACUGCCUUUGAUACUGGAGACCUUGAGUCCGGGAGAGGUGAGUGGAAUUGCGAGUGUAGAGGUGAAAUUCGUAGAUAUUCGCAAGAACACCAGUGGCGAAGGCGGCUCACUGGCCCGGAACUGACGCUGAGACGCGAAAGCGUGGGGAGCGAUCCGG